AUGUGCCUACGGGGGGCAGCAGUAGGGAAUCUUCCACAAUGGACGAAAGUCUGAUGGAGCAACGCCGCGUGAGUGAAGAAGGGUUUCGGCUCGUAAAGCUCUGUUGGUAGUGAAGAAAGAUAGAGGUAGUAACUGGCCUUUAUUUGACGGUAAUUACUUAGAAAGUCACGGCUAACUACGUGCCAGCAGCCGCGGUAAUACGUAGGUGGCAAGCGUUGUCCGGAUUUAUUGGGCGUAAAGCGAGUGCAGGCGGGUCCAUAAGUCUUGUGUGAAAAGCUUCUGCUCAA
rnacentral:rRNA from 1 species